rnacentral:tRNA from 1 species
UCCCAGAUGGUCCAGUGGCUAAGACUCUGUGCUCCCAAUGCAGGGGGCUCAGGUUCGAUCCCUGGUGAGGGAA